rnacentral:pre_miRNA from 1 species
AGGCAAGAUGUUGGCAUAGCUGAAUAUAAUGACGUCAGCUGUGCUGCAUGUUGCCAUC